GAUGAGCGCUGGCGGCGUGCCUAAUACAUGCAAGUCGAGCGGUAACAGGUCUAGUUUACUAGAUGCUGACGAGCGGCGGACGGCUGAGUAACACGUAGGAACGUACCCCAAAGUGAGGGAUAACUGCUCGAAAGAGUAGCUAAUACCGCAUGUGAUCUAAGGAUUAAAGCUUUAUGCGCUUUGGGAACGGCCUGCGUUCGAUUAGCUAGUUGGUGAGGUAAUAGCUCACCAAGGCGAUGAUCGAUAGCUGGUCUGAGAGGAUGAUCAGCCAGACUGGGACUGAGACACGGCCCAGACUCCUACGGGAGGCAGCAGUAGGGAAUUUUCCACAAUGGACGAAAGUCUGAUGGAGCAACGCCGCGUGCAGGAUGAAUGUCUUCGGAUUGUAAACUGCUUUUGUUGGUGAAGAAUAUGACGGUAACAACGAAUAAGGGUCUGCUAACUACGUGCCAGCCGCCGCCGUAA
rnacentral:rRNA from 1 species